AUUGAACGCUGGCGGCGUGCCUAACACAUGCAAGUCGAGCGGUAACGCGGGAGCAAUCCUGGCGACGAGCGGCGAACGGGUGAGUAACGCUUCGGAAUCUACCCAGUAGUGGGGAAUAACCAAUCGAAAGGUUGGCUAAUGCCGCAUACGACCUAAGGGUGAAAGCGGGGGAUCGUAAGACCUCGCGCUAUUGGAUGAGCCGAAGUCGGAUUAGCUAGUUGGUAGGGUAACGGCCUACCAAGGCGACAAUCCGUAGCUGGUCUGAGAGGACGACCAGCCACACUGGGACUGAGACACGGCCCAGACUCCUACGGGAGGCAGCAGUGGGGAAUAUUGGACAAUGGGGGAAACCCUGAUCCAGCGACGCCGCGUGUGUGAAGAAGGCCUGCGGGUUGUAAAGCACUUUUAGUGGGGAUGAAAAGCUCAGGGCUAAUAACCUUGGGUCUUGACCUAACCUACAGAAAAAGCACCGGCUAACUCUGUGCCAGCAGCCGCGGUAAUACAGAGGGUGCGAGCGUUAAUCGGAAUUACUGGGCGUAAAGCGUGCGCAGACGGUUUCGUAAGUCGGGUGUGAAAUCCCCGGGCUCAACCUGGGAAUGCCAUUCGAGACUGCGA
rnacentral:rRNA from 1 species